GAGAAGAGUGGUCAACUGAUCACCCUUCGUUAAAAAAUUGUACUGUUUACAUAGGUAAUAUAUUACAUUUUAAAAGUAUAUAAUAUAUAUUGAACAUCCUUUGUCGGAAUUUUUUUCACUUCUUUUAAAUUUGAGCACCCUUAAAAAAAAUUCUAGCUUCGCCUCUACUGGUGACCCAUCACCCAUACACAUGGAUCCGCCUCUGACUACAACUACAUUUAUCAAACAAAUUGACCUGCAUCUGAAGAUUUGAUAGAAAUUAUAAAGGACUAACCAUCAGAAAAUAACCAAUAAAAUUUCUUUUUAAAAGUAGAUAUUUACCUGGUAUAGGUGUAACCUUUUUGAUAAUAGGAAUAAGGGUAAUCUUUACAAGAAAAUUUGCCUUGCGUAACUUGAAAUUAGUUUUAUGGGCCAAAUCAAUAAAAUAUGUAUUUUCAGGGCACAAGUAAUCGAUUUGAUCACUUUCUCAAAUAUAAAUGGCAAGAAAUAAUAACAGACGGUAAAUAAGGAAAUCAAAUAUUAGGCAAAAGGAUAGGAAAUUCAUAUUGAUCAAGAUGUCUCAUUUUUCAGAUUGAUUCUAGCAAGAUAACGUGAUAUAGAGAGAUGAGAGUUGUCGAGUUAUUUGUUAUGUAUACAAUGUAGGAGAAGUGGGGAUUUAGAUAGUAAAAUUACGGAUAACAACAACAACCACCACCCAGUAUAAUUCCACUUAGUAGGGUCUGUGGAGGGUAGUAUGUACGCAAACCUUACCUUUACCCUUGGGUAGAGAGGUUGUUUCCAAAUAGACCCCCGGCAUCCUUCCCUCCAAGAACUUUCUACCUUGCUCUUGGGGAGACUCGAACUCACAACCUCUCGGUUGGAAGUGGGGUUUGCUUACCAUCAGAGCAAUACGUAGACCUUACCCCUACCCUGGGGUAGAGAGGUUGUUUCCAAAUAGACCCCCGGCAUCCUUCCCUCCAAGAACUUUCUACCUUGCUCUUGGGGAGACUCGAACUCACAACCUCUCUGUUGGAAGUGAGGAUUGCUUACCAUCAGAGCAACCCCUCUUGUCGAGAAUAUCUAAUUACCGAUAACAAUUUCCCUAAUAAUAAUUACACAUCAGUUCCAAACAGGUUGUGGUCGACUAUAUGAAUUUUCACUGUGCAUGUCGAGAAUAUCUAAUUUUUCGAGCAUAAAGAUUUGAUCUCAACACAGUAAAAUGGUUGCAGGAGGAAAAAUUGAUGACAUCAGAAGAGGAAAACAAAGAGAUGAUUCAAAUAUACCAAAAUGUAUCACGUUGAAGAGAUCUCUGAAGCGCCAAUGGAAACAGAUAAAUCAACAGGAGUAAAUACCACUUCCCUUUG
rnacentral:lncRNA from 1 species